rnacentral:rRNA from 1 species
GAUGAACGCUGGCGGCGUGCCUAAUACAUGCAAGUCGAGCGAACGGACGAGAAGCUUGCUUUUCUGAUGUUAGCGGCGGACGGGUGAGUAACACGUGGAUAACCUACCUAUAAGACUGGGAUAACUUCGGGAAACCGGAGCUAAUACCGGAUAAUAUUUUGAACCGCAUGGUUCAAAAGUGAAAGACGGUCUUGCUGUCACUUAUAGAUGGAUCCGCGCUGCAUUAGCUAGUUGGUAAGGUAACGGCUUACCAAGGCAACGAUGCAUAGCCGACCUGAGAGGGUGAUCGGCCACACUGGAACUGAGACACGGUCCAGACUCCUACGGGAGGCAGCAGUAGGGAAUCUUCCGCAAUGGGCGAAAGCCUGACGGAGCAACGCCGCGUGAGUGAUGAAGGUCUUCGGAUCGUAAAACUCUGUCAUUAGGGAAGAACAUAUGUGUAAGUAACUGUGCACAUCUUGACGGUACCUAAUCAGAAAGCCACGGCUAACUACGUG